CCUACGGGAGGCAGCAGUGAGGAAUAUUGGUCAAUGGGCGGGAGCCUGAACCAGCCAAGUCGCGUGAGGGAAGACGGUCCUAUGGAUUGUAAACCUCUUUAGGCGGGGAGCAAUGCCGGGCACGCGUGCCCGGAGGGAGAGUACCCGCAGAAUAAGCAUCGGCUAACUCCGUGCCAGCAGCCGCGGUAAUACGGAGGGUGCGAGCGUUAUCCGGAUUGAUUGGGUUUAAAGGGUGCGUAGGCGGAUUUUUAAGUCAGCGGUAAAAUGUCCGGGCUCAACCCGGGCCGGCCGUUGAAACUGGGGAUCUUGAGUGGGCGAGAAGUAUGCGGAAUGCGUGGUGUAGCGGUGAAAUGCAUAGAUAUCACGCAGAACUCCGAUUGCGAAGGUAGCAUACCGGCGCCCGACUGACGCUGAGGCACGAAAGCGUGGGGAUCGAACAGGAUUAGAUACCCUGGUAGUC
rnacentral:rRNA from 1 species